rnacentral:rRNA from 1 species
UACAGAGGUCCCAAGCGUUGUUCGGAUUUACUGGGCGUAAAGGGUGCGUAGGCGGUGUCACAAGUCUGAUGUGAAAGCUCGGAGCUCAACUCCGAAAUGGCAUUGGAAACUGUGAUGCUGGAGGCUUGGAGGGGGGAUUGGAAUACUUGGUGUAGCAGUGAAAUGCGUAGAUAUCAAGUGGAACACCUGUGGCGAAGGCGAAUCCCUGGACAAGACCUGACGCUGAGGCACGAAAGCUAGGGGAGCAAACAGG